UACGGAGGGAGCGAGCGUUGUUCGGAAUUACUGGGCGUAAAGCGUAUGUAGGCGGUUUUGUAAGACAGAUGUGAAAUCCCAGGGCUUAACCUUGGAACUGCAUUUGUGACUGCAUGACUCGAGUAUCGGAGAGGUUGGCGGAAUUCCUAGUGUAGCAGUGAAAUGCGCAGAUAUUAGGAGGAACACCGAUGGCGUAAGCAGCCAACUGGACGAUUUCUGACGCUGAGAUACGAAAGUAUGGGGAGCAAACAGG
rnacentral:rRNA from 1 species